rnacentral:rRNA from 1 species
CGGCAACAGCUCAAAUUUGAAAUCUGGCUCUUUCAGGGUCCGAGUUGUAAUUUGUAGAAGAUGCUUCGGGUGUGGCUCCGGUCUAAGUUCCUUGGAACAGGACGUCAUAGAGGGUGAGAGCCCCGUCUGGUUGGAUGCCGAGCCUCUGUAAAGCUCCUUCGAC